UCUUCUGCUAUUUGUGAGAAUAUAAGUUGUAACAAGGUUUCCGUAGGUGAACCUGCGGAAGGAUCAUUA
rnacentral:rRNA from 1 species